UCCCAGUUGUCUGAAAGCACCACAAAUCCAGAGAAUGCCAGACUUUAAUGACAAAGUUUGAUGAUUCAAUUUGCCGACAAGAAGGACCACCGCACCACCUUCCUGUUCAAGUUAGCGCAGCACAACAAGGCAUUUCCGCAGCUGGCCCAUGGCACCUCAUCACUGAAGGAGGAGAACAGGUAGAAGAAGGCCCAGGGCUGGAUGAUGAUGUAUGACACUGCAGCAUACGCAAACAAAGCAAAUGUAAAUUGGUAACCUUCAAAGAGAGUGCAGAAGUGUCUCCAGCAGGUGAUGCUGCCCUGCAAGGUGUACUGUCCCAUGGCUGUCCCCAGGAG